GAAUAAGUAAUACAAAUAGUAAAACAAAUUUCAAUAAUCUAGAGUAGGAGUUCUUAAUCCAAAAAGUACAAUAUAUUGGGAGUAGAAGAAAUACAUCAGCACCUCCUUUGAUCUUACACAAACAUCGUACAAGUAAAAACUAAAGUUUAAGCCCUUUCUGUCUUUAACAUGUCAAAUGAUGAUGAAAAAUGGCAAUCUCAUUGGCGAUGACAAUUAAUCCCCGUGAAUUGUAUAUCGCUCCCACUUCUUUGUUGGGUCAUAUAUCUCCCACCGUGAAGCUGGAAAGAUAUGCUUGUUCUUUUCAUACCAAUGCCUCUCUACAACUUUUCCAGCAUGUGACUCAUCUUUCUCAAUAGUAGCAUCAGCAAUGGUCCGCACAUCUUCAUGGACAUCAAAGUGAAAAAGCGGUCCACUCUUUCCUCUGGCUUUGUUUAUAAUCAACUCAUAGAAACUGUGUUGAUGAGGAAUGAUUAGAUCUUCCUUCACAUAAAGAAGAUUCUCCACUGAAGUAGUUCGAACCUCCCGAAACUCA
rnacentral:misc_RNA from 1 species